GGAGCUUCAGUUUUUGCUUCUCACAUGUAGUGACAGUACGAUCAAGGAUCACCCCUAAACAAUUUAGUUUAGUGCACCUAUAAGCAUUGAUGACAAGGUCAGAAACAUUCAACUCUGAGCAGCCAGUACAUUGACAUGUAAAUGAGUAGCGGUCUUCUAAGAGUCGUUGACGGUCUUUGCAGUCCCACUGCCCUACCUGGGGGCCAUAAG
rnacentral:misc_RNA from 1 species